GAUGAACGCUGGCGGCGUGCCUAAUACAUGCAAGUCGAGCGAACAGACGAGGAGCUUGCUCCUCUGACGUUAGCGGCGGACGGGUGAGUAACACGUGGAUAACCCACCUAUAAGACUGGGAUAAUUUCGGGAAACCGGAGCUAAUACCGGAUAAUAUAUUGAACCGCAUGGUUCAAUAGUGAAAGACGGUUUUGCUGUCACUUAUAGAUGGAUCCGCGCCGCAUUAGCUAGUUGGUAAGGUAACGGCUUACCAAGGCAACGAUGCGUAGCCGACCUGAGAGGGUGGUCGGCCACACGGGAACUGGAACACGGUCCAGACUCCUACGGGAGGCAGCAGUAGGGAAUCUUCCGCAAUGGGCGAAAGCCUGACGGAGCAACGCCGCGUGAGUGAUGAAGGUCUUCGGAUCGUAAAACUCUGUUAUUAGGGAAGAACAAAUGUGUAAGUAACUAUGCACGUCUUGACGGUACCUAAUCAGAAAGCCACGGCUAACUACGUG
rnacentral:rRNA from 1 species